rnacentral:tRNA from 1 species
ACGGGUAUAGUUCAAUGGUUAGAAUAGCGGUCUCCAAAACCGUAGAUCAGGGUUCGAGUCCUUGUACCCGUG